AUCACUUAACCUCUCGAAAUUUGAACUGCAUUGAACGGCUAUAUGGUGAUAAUGGCUUCAACGUAAUGGAUGCUUUGAAUAAAAAAGCUAGUGUUGCUUUGCCCCUCAUAUUGGUCCGUCUGAAACAGAAACAAGAGGAAUGGAUUAGUUGCCGUGCUAACUUUAAUAAGCUCUUCCUGCUGAGAUCAAAAAAAUCUAUCAGAAGAAAAAGUAAAAAAUGAUGAUGCGAUCUUGCUGUUGCUGCUGAAAAUCAAAACCUGCAGUUCCUAAUAGGGAAUUUGUUCACUUGGAGCCAGACAGCCGUUAGGAUCUGUAUCAGAUUAAAACUAAUCAUGUCAUGGAAUCUGCGUAUUUACAAAUCAACUGGUCAAAGUACUAAAAGCAGAACUAUUGCUGAUGGAGGUAGAGCUUAUGGUUCUUAAGAAUAAACAACCUGUUGAGCGACAUAAAACUCUCAA